rnacentral:lncRNA from 1 species
UUUUUUUUUCCAUUGCACCUUUAUUGUUUACUCUGUUCACUGUUCAGAAUUCUCAUACAGUCUUUCUAGAAGCACACAGAACCUGUGAGACAGCUCCCUCCCCCGACAGUCCAUUAUUCUUCUAAGCAGCCUCCUCUUGUUUUUCACCUUUACAUGUAUGGCCUUCUGCCAGGGUGCAAGGAGUUUCCAGGAGCAGUUAUUUUAUGGGGGGGGGGUGCAGAGCUGGCCCUCAGCAAAGCCAUCUGUUUGCAUCUGACCCCUGAGGGCCCCUUCCUGGGUCCAGUCCCUCUUUUGCCAGCAUUCGGCCAACCUUCGCAGGGCCAGGGAAUCAGACAGAUUGGACGUUUGCAUCCUGACUCACCACCGGUAGCCACCUGCUCUCAGGGAAAUUUCCUGAUCUUUCGGAGACCUCCUUUCUUCUUCCAGAAAUGGGGCAAAGAUUCCCUCUCGCACCUAUCGUGAGAAUUCAAUGACUUAAGGAAUACAGUGUCUGGCACAGCGCCUGACACACAGCAUGCCCUGAAUGCACAUCAACUUCCUUUCUUCUGGUGGGGAAGAGAAGACACCUGAUGAGAGCCAGGUGUUCAGGGCAUUUGCCUUAUAAAAGAGCCUGGGCCCUUGGCAGAGCCUAAGAAAUGACUCUCUAAUGGUGGAUUCAGACACCACCACAUCAGGAGGGAGAGAUCUGAUGGGAGGAAGACCUCCUGGGCAUCAUUUGAAUCCAACUAGGCAGAUCACUGCUUCUUUUGCCACGGCAAGGCUGGCACUGGCAGAAGGAAUUCUAACCCUCUUUUUAAGGCCCUGCCGCCGCAGCCAGUCAAAGGCCCACCUCAGGGAGCCAGGAGAAUGGGGGGAAAUUCCUAUCUAUUCAACUGUUCCUGCCAGGGAGGAAGAAGCUUCAUGUGGGUGUAAACCAGAAGCUUUAAGAAAUGCAGCAAUCCUUUAGGGGGAUUGCUGCGUCCCCUUCUGGUGCCCUUAAAAGUCGCCUGUCACAGGGGCGUCCUGAAAGCCUGACGGGAGUUCCUGUGCCAUUCACACCCCGCCUGCCUUGAAAAGGACCCCAGGCAGCUCACUAAGGAAGGAAUUAUGCACCUAAGGCUGAGCUUUCACCCUUCUCCUUCCCAUCCUUCUCAUGGUUAUGUGGCCAUUCGAUUCAAAUCUGAUCAAUAUCAAACCUGAUCAAUGACCCGUCACAAGAAGGAGACCACGAUGCUGCCAAUAAGAAGCUUUAUGCUCUGUCCUAGAGGUGAUCUGCCAAUGUAGUUGCACUCUUCCUCCACAGUCCUCUUGUAAAAAAAAAAAAUUUAAGCUGAUCUAUCACUCAGCCCUUGUUCAUGCAUCAUUCUCAGUAAGGAAACAGUGCAUCCGAGGUCCACAUGCCUGCGAUCGCUCGACACCUCCGAUAUAACAACAAAAAGCCGCUCAACGGACAAUCUUAGAACAUGCACCAACCAAGGUCACGGCUGGUAUCACGGGGGAAGAAAAUGUCCUCCAGACUGAAAAGAGCGAGAGGGAGAGAGUCGGCAAAGGAUUCAAGAUGAGAGAGUUAGGACGAGAGUGAAUGCACAACAGAACAUCUGCAGUCUAGGGGCUGAAGCAGCUUAAACCAAGGAAAGCUCUAUGGAUCCAGGAGCGCCUCUCCAAGUAUUUGGUUCAUGCUAAAAAAUAGAGCACAUUUAUUAAAAAUAUAUAUUUAUAAACCUUGAUAUGAACAGAUACACACAUCAAGCCAAUGAAAAAAGAAAAAUAAGUUAUCUCCCCGGUAUCAAAUAGUCAGACACUUUUGAUGAAUGGGAUGCUUGUCAAAGGAUUGUCCCUGCGGUUUUUUUUGUACUAAACAGCUCAUGGCGUUAGGAGGACACGCGUGCCCUGGGAGACGCGCCCUGAGCUGCGUCCGCCCCGUUCCUCUUUUGGAAUCCAAGACACCUGUCAGGGUUCUGGGACAAUGAGCCUCUGCACCCAUCUGCUCCCUGAUGGCAUCAAAGGCUGGGCUUCCCAGCGCUCUUUCGGGUCCCCUGCUGACGCCGCUGACUCCCUUGCUGGGCGAGUGAGUUUUGUUGGAUUCAUUGUGCUUUAGUGUCUGCUCCUCGCAGAAGGAUCCGUUUAUUUUGGUGACCCUUGAGCAAGUUUGAAGGUGCAUCUGAUGGAGCGGUGUGAGGAGGUCAAGGCUGCUUGUGGGCGCAGCGUCCGGUCACUCAUCUGCCGACAUACAGGACUCCCGUCUUCCGGCCAUGCGGAGGAAAAGAGAGGAAGAGAGAGCUUGAGAGCGUGUAGAACUGCGCCCCGCGGGUCCGGGGGCGGCAGGCGCCCCGCAGGACCGCGCCGCCCC